rnacentral:rRNA from 1 species
UACGUAGGGUGCAAGCGUUAAUCGGAAUUACUGGGCGUAAAACGUGCGCAGGCGGUUUUGUAAGACAGAUGUGAAAUCCCCGGGCUUAACCUGGGAACCGCAUUUGUGACUGCAUAGCUGGAGUACGGCAGAGGGGGAUGGAAUUCCGCGUGUAGCAGUGAAAUGCGUAGAUAUGCGGAGGAACACCGAUGGCGAAGGCAGUCCCCUGGGCCUGUACUGACGCUCAUGCACGAAAGCGUGGGGAGCGAACAGG